AGUGAACGCUGGCGGCGUGCCUAAUACAUGCAAGUCGAACGGAGUGACGCACGGGUGAGUAAUGUAUAGCUAAUCUUCCCUACACUAGAAGGCAACAGCUGGUGACGACUGCUAAUACUCCCUAGUGUAGGAUGAGGCUAUAUAGUAUCACCUAGUUGGUGAGGUAGUGGCUCACCAAGGCGAUGACCCAUAACUGGUCUGCGAGGAUGAUCAGUCACCCGGGAACGGAGACACGGUCCAGGCUCCUUCGGGAGGGAGCAGUAGCGUAUAUUGCCCAAGGGGGGAGACCGUGAAGCAGCAUCGCCGCGUGGAGGAUGACACUUGUGGGAGCGUAAACUCCUUUUGUUAGGGAAGCGGUACCUAACGAAUAAGCACCGGCUAACUCCGUGCCAGCAGCCGCGGUAAUUC
rnacentral:rRNA from 1 species